rnacentral:rRNA from 1 species
AACGAACGCUGGCGGCAUGCCUAACACAUGCAAGUCGAACGAGACCUUCGGGUCUAGUGGCGCACGGGUGCGUAACGCGUGGGAACCUGCCCUUAGGUUCGGAAUAACUCCCCGAAAGGGGUGCUAAUACCGGAUAAUGUCUUCGGACCAAAGAUUUAUCGCCUUUGGAUGGGCCCGCGUUGGAUUAGCUAGUUGGUAGGGUAAAAGCCUACCAAGGCGACGAUCCAUAGCUGGUCUGAGAGGAUGAUCAGCCACACUGGGACUGAGACACGGCCCAGACUCCUACGGGAGGCAGCAGUGGGGAAUAUUGGACAAUGGGCGAAAGCCUGAUCAAGCAAUGCCGCGUGAGUGAUGAAGGCCUUAGGGUUGUAAAGCUCUUUUACCCGGGAUGAUAAUGACAGUACCGGGAGAAGAAGCUCCGGCUAACUCCGUG